rnacentral:lncRNA from 1 species
UCCUUUUCUCAUUUCAUUUAUGACGGAAAUUAUAUGGAGCUAUAUUGGAAACGUUAUUUCAGGCUUAAUAAUUGACAAAAUGUUACGUUGUAUAAUGGGGUGGGGAAAUAAAUGCUCGUAGAUCUAAUAUACUCUAUUAAUAAGCAUAAGCCAUAGAUUGGCUAAAAAAGAAUACAAAUUAAUAGAAUAAGAACCAAAAAGAAAAAGGAUGCACAACUUUGUUUAAUGAAUAUCUGGUAAUCUAAAUGAGUUGCACCAAGCUAGUCAUUGACUCAACCGGGCCAAAUUACCACAUUCUGCUUACGUUCUGCUCAUCUUCAUGCACUUUGCCUUUCCCCAUAGCUUAGCUUUAGCAUCUAGAUCUCUCACCACAAACACUGAGCUUCUUCACCAGAGAAUUCAUCUUGUCGUCUGCAUUUGAAGACUCAGACCCACAAAAUUAUAAAUACCCAUAAAAUAACAUUUAGGAAAACACACCAAUCAUGUUAUUGUUAUUAAUUAGAGCAGUAAAAUUGAAAUAUACAAAUAAAAAAAAAGAAUAAAAGAUCAAUGAACUUACAAUAUUUAUGUCUUAAAAUCAGCUUCCUCUUCUCCCAUGAAAAAAAUAGAGUCCCAAGAGAAAGAAAAAACAUGGAAAAUAUAACUCACUGAACUGCAUGUUUUAACAUCUCCAAAUUGGAAACCAAAAUUGAUGAAACGCAAUUGCAGAAGGUUCUCUUUGUAUACAUAGUAUCAACAUAUAUGCACAAAGAUAAUACUCACUUUUUUGCCACCGAGGAGUACGCUAUGAACCCCUUUUUAUCAUUAUUCAGAAAUUCUAAUUAAUUAAUUCUAAAGAACUCCUAGAGAUUGCAGAAGUACCACACUUGAUGACACAACUCUUUCUUACUUGACCUGCAGCAUCCAAAACUACUACUACUAAAUCAGCUCCCAUAUAUAUGUGCCCGAAGCUACUACCUUCCAAGUUGUAGCAGAAACUAUGGUGUAUCAUUCUUUUUGGCAGUUACAAUAGGCAUCCCACAACCACGAUUCAUUCGCCAACUGUUGCGAUCCAUGUUUAGGUGCACAUCUAUUUUUAAUUUAAAGUGAACGUGUUAAUUGCCACAGAGAUUGAAUGAAGAUGAUUUCAAAAGCAGCACUCUUUCCGGCUAACUUCUACGUUCUGCCAUUUUAAGUUGACUUGUUGGUUGGUGGAGCUUUAUUGCUUGAUCCUUGUUAUCCAAGUCUUGUGCUUCAGCACAUGAGCCUUUUGUACGUACUAAAUAGGCAGGAGGUGUAGAAUAUGAACAGUUUCACUAAUGAAACGGCUUGAGAACUAAUGUCUUUUCAUCUUUGAUUUUUUUGACUAACUGCCAACUUACCCUUUAAUUGAGUAAUUAUUAGGUAUUUUUAGACUUUUUAACCUAAGAUAAACCAAUAAAAGUAAGGGAAAAACCAAAAAAAUUGAGAAAAAAGAUAAGUGACUUUCAUGGACUAUGAGAGGUAUCACCUUUUCCAUUCCCUCCUUUUUAUAUAUAUAUUUUCAGAAAUUAUAUGAAUAGUGUUGGUUUGGUUUGGUUUCGCCUUGAUUUUUUUUUUUUUUAGUUUAAAUUAAACUAAACCAAUUAUAAACAAGUUCUUUCCCAAUACCAAACGAAAGCAACUCAAACCACAUUCGAAUAUUUUUAUUCGAUUUAAUUCUUAUUACCGGUUUGGCGCGAAUACACCCCUAAUUUUGGUUAAGUACCGAGCCUUAGUGUUUACAUAUUAAAUGGAACUGGAGAAGACGACAAAGCUGGUAAGUCCCCUCCUGCUGAUGAUUCUUUGCUCGCAUCAUGACCAAUUAGAAGAUUUGUCAAUUGAUAACAAUUUGAAUCCUUUGCCCGAGGCCCCAAAUUUCGAUAUAUAAAUCUUACUCAUACCUAACAAUAAUGAUACUAAUGGAGGAUGCCUUCCACGUUUUCCUUAUAUUUUUCUUGUCAAGAAUAACAUAAGUAACUAAUAGAAUAUUUUGCCGUCAUAUUUGUUGAAACUGUCAAAAUUAAUUGUUUACCUCGAAAAUAUAAGUAACAAUUAAAUUUAAUUUGUGAUUUUAAAGAUGGAUUUAGUUCAAUACCAAUUAAUAUUCAAGAAGUAUAAAGUAUAAAUGGAAAAAAUGAAUGAAUCAAACCAGUGUUACUUAAACAGUGUCGACCUCGAGACCAGUAACCCCGAGGAGGGUUAAGAACAAUGAGGCAAGAACAGUAAAACGAGGACAAUAAAACUAAAAGACAAUUCUGAUGAACAAUAAGUGAAAAAAUAAGAUAGUAUAUUCUUUGCCAAUGAUUAGAUGAUGUUUACAAAUGAUAGGGGCCCCCUUUAUAUAAUAGGGGGAACCCUAAAUAAGAUACAUUUCUAUUUACAGUAAGGAAUUUUAUUGGGACAGCUGUAUAACCGCCUAGUACUGAUUUGUACUAAUUCGUACAAAUCUAUUCCGGAAUUUAUACCAUGAUCUUGGGGACAUGGCGGAAAUCUUGCUCAUUCUGUUACAAACUCAUAACGGCAUUAUCUCGAGGCCGGUCACGUUCGGCCUCGAUGUUCAUCGGACACUUUGAUCUUCGAAGCCUCUCAUCGGGCUCGCUCCUGAUCUAUUUCGAUCUCGUUCUCGAAGUGACCCUCGAGCUCACGAAAUCAGGUAGCCCCGAUUUCCACUAUAUACAGAUAGUCCCCCGCAUUUCUUAGAGUAUAACAACAAGAAACGAAUUGAGUCCUUGAUUUUUGCCCCCGUAUUUGCCCAUGACAUCAUCAUCAUGACGCAAGCGACUGAGGAAACGAAAGCUUGGAAGCUGGCCGUUCCCGAGGAAAACUCAGAGAACUUUUAGCAAGCCCAGCGACGGGGAAGAUUAUGAGGGCGAAGACACUUCUGCCGAUAAGGACCGUGCUGCUUAGGUUUCGUGCUCUUAGUAAUAUCUUGCUUUUGAGGUUGAUCGGCCCUUGCGAGGAACUCUUGAUCGUGAUCUAUAGCUUGUAAAAAGGUGCAUACAAAGCCCUUUUCCUUCCAUGGCUUCUGAAUCUGUUACCUUUUUGUGCGGGUCAAAGCGUCUUAGCAUAAAAUUCCUUUUGAAUGUCCAAAGUUUGAGAUGGUAAUUGUCACACCUCUUUUUUUCCUACACCCCGUAAAAGGGAGUAUAUAAGGGGAGUUUUUUCCAACUUAAAGUGACAAUCGAAACAUGAUUAUUUAUUUAUUAAAUUCAGAGUCGCCACUUGGGAUAAUUUUAUGGUGUCCCAAGUCACCGGUUCAAAUCCCGAAUCGAGGAAAAGUUUGACUCUGUAUUACAUUCCGCGCACACAGAAAUCCAGGUAAGGAAUUCUGUUAACCCGGGAGAAGGUGUUAGGCAUUCCCGAGUUCCGUGGUUCUAGCACGGUCGCUCAACUGUUAUUAUUGGCUUAAUUAUCUGAUUUUAAACAUUUUAAACCUAUGUGCAUUUUUAAAACUUUAACCUCUUUUAAUCAUUUUAGGAAUAUUACAACGUUGUUAAAACAUGUCUUGAACCACAUCACAUAAAUGCACCCGCGGUCUUCGACAUAUUUUAACAUCGUUGAGAUUUGGAUUUGGGUCACAUAAAUGCGCACCCGAGUUUAGGAAGGUAAAUUAUUAAAAUAACGUGCCUAAAGCAAUUCCGCACUUUCAAGUUUGCGAGGGCCAUGUAAAUUCUCUAAAUGGCACGCCUCGAUGUCUAAGGAUUAAAACAAAAUAAAUUAAGCGAGGGCCAUGCAAUUGUCAUUUUUGUUUGUCACGGCACACCUCGAAUCCAAUUUUUAAAAGAAGCCCAAUAUUAAACUCUAAAGGGCCAUAACUAUAUUUGUUAAGUAGGGCACACCUCAACUAAUUGUCUAAAAUUUCUUGUUUUUGAAACCAUGAGGGCCAUAGGCUAUAGGAUUUUAUUCGUGUAUGGCGCACCUCAAAUUAUUUUUAAAAGAAAAGACUUGUAUUCACAUUUUUUAAAGGCAAAUUAAAAAUGCUCCUACUUAUAUCUUAUUUAAAAAACUAAGUAUCACAACCAAGUCACGGGAACCAUACCCGUAGUUGUAAUAAUUUAAUUGCGCGCCGGGAAGUUUGCUUAUCCAGUCAGUAAAACAAAGAAUACAGCGAUCAUAUGUAAGUUCCCAGGCAAACAAAUAAAGUGGAACAGUCGAAAUACAUAUCGAUAAGGCAUUCUAGCUAGACUCAUUCACAUAUUAAACAAUUUCUUCUCUUCUUUUUUUCUUUCUUGAAGUCCAACUCUAGAAAAGGACAAUUUUGUGAAAGUUAAAUAAGUGGGACAAUUACAAGCAGGCAAGAGAGAAGAAAGACAGUCAAAUACGAGCUGGGAAAUGAGUAUGCCAGCAGCGUGGAAAAAAAGAAAAUACAAGAGACCACUCUUGCCACGCUGAAUUCUACAUCCACAAGAUACGCUUACAGUAAAAUCAUAUUAGUUUGAAACAACAAAUCCUAGUUAUCUUAGGUGCAUUCCUCAAAAGCUCUUUUAUCACAUGAGAACAGAAAUAUCAAUAUUUUCAAGGUCAAAGAACCAGAUACCACACAUCUGAUUACUCAUAUAUAGCAAAUUCAUUCUUGUCCUCUUUCCCAAUUAUCUAGAUUUGAGUCAACUAAUAUUCAACCAUCAAUGUAGCAAACCAACAAUUAUUCAUUCGGUCAAAUUAAAACAAUCAACUAUGUUAAAACAAAUAAUUUCACAUACAAGCAUCACAAUAGAAUUAUUAAAAUUAAGAACAAGAGAGGGAUAAACCUUUAUUGCUGCAAUUUUCUGCCAGGUACAACAAAAUAGGAUCUCAAAAUCAGCCAACCAAACAAACGAACUUUUUGAUCUAAACCUCGAUGAAUCUGCUGUUUUCUCUGUAGCUGAGCUUUUCCAAUUACAAAUUUCUUCCAAACAGAAUACACAAGAGAUGUCGACGGAAACUCGAACUACGAGCGACAACCUCGAUGAACUCGACUCAACCCAGCCUUCUCAUUUUUUAAUUCAGAUCUGGCCGUUCCCCCCUUCGUAUAUGUGUGCGUUUGUACCUGGGCGUUCUUGAUGGUGGUGGGGGGGGGGGGGCAGGCUCGUUCUCUCUACUUUCUGAUGGGCUGCGGCUGAAGGGUGAGGGAUUUUUGGUUUGGUUGUUGAUGAAGAAGAUCGAUGGGGGAGGGUCUGUGGUUUUCGCUGGUUUUCAAUUGAAGAAGAAGAAGAAGCAGGACGAUGGGGUUUCUGUGUAUUUGUUGAAGAAUCGGCCCUUCAAAAAGUGUGUCCCCCUCUAUUUAGGCAUUAGGUACUAUUAUAUAGGGGUAGGUAUUAAGUUAGGGGUAUGGGCCUAAGAAUUAUGGGCUAGGUCCAAAAUUAGGCCGAAAAAAUGGGUUGCUCGAGCCCAAGUUUUAUUCUUUCCCGCGAACGAGAUUAAAAUAUAAUCUCAUUUAUUAAUUAGUCCUACUUAAGUAAAAUAGCUGUUAGAA